CCUCGAUGUAGCCGCGCACCGGAGCGACUCCGCCGUUCACGCCGACGUUCGUGCCGAACAGCGUGCGGAUGGGCAGCUCGGCUCCGCCGUUGGGGAC
rnacentral:tRNA from 1 species